rnacentral:rRNA from 1 species
AGAAGCUUGCUUCUUUGCUGACGAGUGGCGGACGGGUGAGUAAUGUCUGGGAAACUGCCUGAUGGAGGGGGAUAACUACUGGAAACGGUAGCUAAUACCGCAUAACGUCGCAAGACCAAAGAGGGGGACCUUCGGGCCUCUUGCCAUUGGAUGUGCCCAGAUGGGAUUAGCUAGUAGGUGGGGUAACGGCUCACCUAGGCGACGAUCCCUAGCUGGUCUGAGAGGAUGACCAGCCACACUGGAACUGAGACACGGUCCAGACUCCUACGGGAGGCAGCAGUGGGGAAUAUUGCACAAUGGGCGCAAGCCUGAUGCAGCCAUGCCGCGUGUAUGAAGAAGGCCUUCGGGUUGUAAAGUACUUUCAGCGGGGAGGAAGGGAGUAAAGUUAAUACCUUUGCUCAUUGACGUUACCCGCAGAAGAAGCACCGGCUAACUCCGUGCCAGCAGCCGCGGUAAUACGGAGGGUGCAAGCGUUAAUCGGAAUUACUGGGCGUAAAGCGCACGCAGGCGGUUUGUUAAGUCAGAUGUGAAAUCCCCGGGCUCAACCUGGGAACUGCAUCUGGUACUGGCAAGCUUGAGUCUCGUAGAGGGGGGUAGAAUUCCAGGUGUAGCGGUGAAAUGCGUAGAGAUCUGGAGGAAUACCGGUGGC